GUGUGUGUCGCAGCCCGGGUCACAUGUCUGUGGUCCGGUGCUGGCCUGGCCCUGUGCCUUCCCCUGACCGGGAGGUGGUGGCCGGCCCAGGCAGCUGACUGCUGCGGUUCACGGGGGAACUGAACCCGCGGGUUGUGUGACGGUGCGGCACCACACAAUGGAGCGACUCACUGUCAGACGACACACACGCACACACACACACACACACACACACACACACACACACACACACACACACACACACACACACACACACACACACACACACACACACACACACACACACACACACACACACACACACACACAGACCCUUCUCCAUCCAGAACAUUUCUUAGCUGUUCUACUGCGAAGGCUGCUGUUUGGUCGGUUUGUGACAUCCUUUCUCUCUUCCCCCCUCUAUGAAGACAUUUAAUUUCUUUCCCACCCUGUUUUGACGGGAGGAGUUGAACCCUCACACGUUGUUUCCCUGUUUGUGUUUGAGUGUGUGUGUGUGUGUGUGUGUGUGUGUGUGUGUGUGUGUGUGUGUGUGUGUGUGUGUGUGUGUGUGUGUGUGUGUGUGUGUGUGUGUGUGUGUGUGUGUGUGUGUGUGUGUCUCUCCUACUCUGUAUGUAAUAAUGCUGGAUGGAAUAUAAUUGGGAUACUGAUAUAAAAUGGGCCCCGCACGCUACAGGGAAUAGCGGGGAGAAUAUAAUAGCCGUUCCUGCCAUGGAUAUUUUUUUCAGAAGGGGGGGGGGGGGGAUCUAUUCCUUCGUCAGUUCCGUCGUCUACCAGCCCCCCCCCCCCCCCCCUUUAUUUCAAACGUGCUCUGGAAGACACCAGACUUGUGUUUCCUUCUUCUUCUUCCUCACUCUUCACUCUUUGGAUUAUAUCCGGGGAAUGCUCCAUGGGCUGGAGUACUUUGGAUGGUCGAGGCAUUUCUCUGCAGUCUGUCAGGGGCCAGGGAAAACCUGCCAUGAGCAAGACACUACCUGUGGUCCCGGAUUGCUCCCCCUUAUUAUCGUUCAUGAUAAUAAUCCUCACACAACAACAGCCGAGUCCUGAUUAUGGGUCGGUAGCGGAACGCCGCCCUGCUACACCUGAUACCCUGACCUUCCUUCAGCCAAUCACAAGCCAUCACCACCUCGCUGCAGCGGGCGUAAGACGCUCUCUGCUAAAUUAAUUAUUCAGAUUGGCCGCUGGAAAGCAUUGCCAGCAACCGUGUUGAACAACAUCUAUAAUGGCUUCCUAGCGAAGGAUUAAUCGCCGCGCGAGGCCACCGUCAAAGCUGACACGCCACAGACUGUCACAUGUAGGUGAUAUGUGCACGUGUGUGUGUGUGUGUGUGUGUGUGUGUGUGUGGGUACAUGUGUGUGUGUGUGGGUACAUGUGUGUGUGUGUGGGUACACACGUAGGUGUGUGUGUGUGUGUGUGUGUGUGUGUGUGUGUGGGUACAUGUGUGUAUGUGCCAGACAGGCAGGCACGAAGGGAUACAUCAGAGACGAGUUCACGGAGAGAUCAGGAAUUUAUCUAACCGGUUAUUUCUUUUUAAUCUGUCGUAUUAACAACAUCCGGGGUCAUGUGUUGUAUUUCUCCUGCCGUCUCUGUUGUUAUCGGCGCAACCUCUUAAACAUGUUGUUCCAGAUUGACAUUAAAGAGACAAAUAAGUAAUAAGACGUUGUUAAAUAUUUACCACGGGCGGAAGCGGGGGAAAUAAAAUCCCCGGAGUGGCUUUUUAAACAGAGUUUAGAGGCCUUCCCCGCACUGUUUACAACCCUUCUGCUGCUGUUUAGCUUCAACCGCAGUAGGAAAAGGGCAAACAUCCACAGAAAUCCACAGUCCUGGUUUCCAGUGACAUUUCACUAGGGUCCGGAGAAUAGGAGUGUGUCCUUUACAUUUAUUUUCUAGUACAUGGGGGAGGAUGGAGAAGAGGAUGGAUGGAGGAAGUGUGUGUGUGUGUGUGUGUUUGUGUGUGUGUGUGCGUGUGCGUGUGCGUGUGCUGGUGGUGUUUGAGAGUGAUGAAGAGUGAGAAUCUGCUGGUGUGUCUCUGUACUGGUGGUGGUUCAGUGUGACCAGAUGCAGAAUGAUAAUCUUAUUGUGUGUGUCUCUGUGCGGUUGGUGUUUUAGUGAGAAGCUGCUGUUGUGUGUCUCUGUGCUGGCGGUGUUUGAUGUGUGAUCAGAUCAAUAGUGAGAAUCUGCUUGUGUGUGUCUGUGCUGGUGGUUGAAUGUGAUCCGAUGAAGAGUGAGAUGUGUCUCUGUGCUGGUGGUGUUUUAGGGAGAAGCUGCAUGGUGUGUGUCUCAGUGCUGGUGGUGUUUCAGUAUGAUCAGAUGUGACCAGAUGUUUUGCCCGUGGGUAAUUGAGUGAUUUGCUGUACUGGGUGUUCUAGGCUUACAGCAUGAUUGACAAUUCCAACAGAUUGAGUUAAGGGUGGCAGUGUGUGAUUUGUUUGAUAGAGACAAAAGAAAAAGAGAGAGGAAUCCCCCUAAUUGAAAGUGAGUGAUGUCUUUCAUCUACCCUGGUCUCCUUGAUCACAGUGUAGGGCCGAUUGAAGUAAAAUAAAAAGGACAAUGAAUACAUUGGGAUUAUUAGAGGAACAUGGCACAGUAAUUAAUUCAAAUAUAGAUUUUAUUUGUGUCUUUUAUUGACGGCGCCAUACGAAAAUCCAGCUGAAAGGUAUUUAAAAGCAUUCUAAAGCUAGAAUACACUUGCGGUGUGCAGAAGAAAAGGAAGUAUCCAAUUUACAUCAUCCUCUCAAUUUACAGUGUAAAUGGCUGCUUCCAAAACGGUUUUGCACUUAUCCUAUUUACAUUCUGUAAUGUAAGUAUAAACAUGGGGUAUGCGUGCGGUUUUUAAAACGGUCGCUGCUUUCAAGGCGGCGUGCGAGGAAGGCGCGCGGAUGAUCCAGAACAGCGGCAUAGGUUUGUAUCUCGCUCGCGUGAUCGAGUUUGCAAAGGGGUAGCAAAAUAUCCUGCGUACAAAAAAAACCAACAAGAAAAACCAAAGAAAGUAAGUGCUGAGCAACAGCAAGGUGUGAGGCACCGAGAGGGUCUGCGUCUGCACUAGGCUAAUAGAAACGCACGCAGGAACCGCGCCAGAGUCUUAACCGCCGCGGCGGAGUGCUCGGGGAAACUGAGCGCCGGGCAAAGUGAACAGGAGCCGGUUGCUGUUCAUUCAAAAUAUAAAAAACAAAAAAGUUUAGGAGAAAAUAAAAAGAGGACAAUAAAGGGAGAGUACGAAGCGACAGCAGCAUCCAGCAGGUAUUCAGCGGCGAGAGGUAGAUUUAGAUGUGUCGGCUGUUGUUGUUUUGAUGUUUUCCCGGCGAACCAAAUGUUCCUAUCAUGUUGGAUCCCACCGCCCCCUCACCGCCAAGCAGACAUCCAAACAAUCCGCUCUGUGUGUUUCCCAGUCACAUGCGAUGGGAGCACAGGAGAUCCAGCGUCAGCCUGUCCUGGCAUUUCCUGGGGCUUUGUAAACAAACAUACGAAUACACGCGCGUGGACCCACUCACACACACAUACAGGCAAACACACACAUGCAACCACACACCAGACACACACACGCGGAUACACAAACACACAGGCAUGUACACCACACACACUUUCAUACACACACACACACAUGCACAUACACGUACACACACACACACACUUGAGCACACACACUUAAGCACACACACUUGAGCACACACACUUUAGGAGACACACAUGCACACGUACGCACAAACAAAUGAUGGUAGCUAGAGUUGAACAUACUAAUCGAGUUUUGCUAUCUAUCUAUAAAUAAAGCUAUUUUAAAGGAAUUCUGGAAAGUCAAAAAUCGAGUAUGCACACACACACACACACACACACACACACACACACACACACACACACACACACACACACACACACACACACACACACACACACACACACACACACAACUCCCUGCAAAGUCGUCCCCGUUUGAGAUGUAACAGAAAUAGAAAUGGAUGUAAUACACUUCCACGUCUCUAAAGAGGUGGUACGAACUCUGUUCCUACCUCCUCUGUUUACAGGGAUUCUCUGCAUUCAGACAGUGUUUUGGCAUAGGUGUAAAAUAGAGGCAGAUUGAAGGGAGUUUCAUCACCUUUACAUGAUGCUCUGCUCCCAUUAUUAGGCACUUUAAAAUGAUGUUGUAUUUCUAUAGACUAGCAAGUAGACUCUCUCCAAUACAGAAAGUGUUACUGUUUUCAAAAUGCUAGAGAGUGAACUCGAGUUUAUGCUGUUUUGGUUCACUAUUUGCUGUGUUUGUUAAACAUAUAAUGUGAAGCCAUU